GGUUUGAUCAUGGCUCAGAUGAGUCGCUGGCGGAUGCCGCACAUGCAAGUCGAACGGCAGCACGGACUUCGGUCUGCGUGGCGAGUGGCGGAAACGGGUGAGUAAUGUAUCGAAACGUGCCUAGUGUGGGGAUAACUACGCGAAAGCGUAGUUAAUACCGUACAUUGCCCUUCGGGAAAGCGGGAAUCCUCGGCCUCGCACUGACGGGAGUUGGCCGAUAUCGGAUUGGCUAGUUGGUGGGGUAACGGCUCACCAAGGCGACGAUCCGGGUAGCUGGUUUGAGAGGACGACCAGCCACACUGGGACUGAGACACGCCCAGACUCCUACGGGAGGCAGCAGUGGGGAAUUUGGAUAAUGGGGAAACCCUGAUCCAGCCAUCCCGCGUGUGCGAUGAAGGCCUUCGGGCUACAGAAGCACUUUGGUGGUGGGAGGAAACACACGGAGGCUAAUACCUCGUGCAACUGAUUUGUACCUGCAGAAUAAAGAACGCUGAACGCUGCGCCAGCAGCCGCGGCAUGAUAUGUAGGGUGCACGUUAAUCGGAAUUACUGGGCGUAAAGCGUGCAGGCGGUUCGGAAAGAGAAGAUGUGAAAUCCCAGAGCUUAACUUUGGAACGCAUUUUUAACCACUGGCCAGAGUGCGUCGAGGAGGUGGAAUCUGGCGUGUAGCAGUGAAAUGCGUAGAUAUGCGGAGGAACACCGAUGGCGAAGGUAGCCUCCUGAUAACACUGACGCUCAUGCACGAAAGCGUGGGAGCAACAGGAUUAGAUACCCUGGUAGUCCACGCCCUAAACGAUGUCAACUAGUUGCUGGGGUCGGGCUCAGUGCAGCUAACGCGUGAAGUUGACCGCCUGGGGAGUACGGUCGCAAGAUUAAAAACUCAAAGGAAUUGACGGGGACCCCGUACACAGCGGUGGAUGAUGUGGAUUAAUUCGAUGCAACGCGAAAAACCUUACCUACCCUGACAUGUCUGGAAUGCCGAAGAGAUUUGGCAGUGCUCGCAAGAGAACCGAACACAAAAGCGUAAGCGGCUUCGUGUCGUCAGCUCGUGUCGAGAUGUUGGGUUAAGUCCCGCAACGAGCGCAACCCUUGUCAGUUGUUGCCGCCGAAAGGCAUCAAUGAGACUGCCGGUGACACGUCCGGAGGAAGGUGGGGAUGACGUCAAGUCCUCAUGGCCCUUAUGGCAGGGCUUCACACGUCAUACAAUGGUCGGGACAGAGGGUCGCCAACCCGCGAGGGGGAGCCAAUCCCAGAAACCCGAUCGUAAACUGGAUCGCAGUCUGCAACUCGACUGCGUGAAGUCGGAAUCGCUAGUAAUCGCGGAUCAGCAUGUUGCGGUGAAUACGUUCCCGGUCUUGUACAUACCGCCCGUCACAACCAUGGGAGUGGGUUUACCAGAAGUAGUUAGCCUAACCGCAAGGGGGUACGAUCAUCACGGUAUCCGAAUCGUAAAGUGCUCUGCGGCACCAUGUCCGUGGGUGCUGAUGAGUAACAUGAAUUCAACGUUAUGCU
rnacentral:rRNA from 1 species